rnacentral:rRNA from 1 species
AACGGCCAUACCAUGCUGAAUAUACCGGUUCUCGUUAGAUCACCGAAGUCAAGCAUCAUUGGGCGCGGUCAGUACUUGGGUGGGUGACCACUGGGAACACCGCGUGCCGUU